rnacentral:snRNA from 1 species
CGAACAAGUACCGCGAGG